CCCACAUGAAGUCGGAGUCGCUAGUAAUCCCGAAUCAGCAUGUCGGGGUGAAUGCGUUCCCGGGCCUUGUACACACCGCCCGUCACGCCAUGGGAGCUGGUAAUACCCAAAGUCGGUACACCAACCGCAAGGAGGAAGCCGCCUAAGGUAGGAUCAGUGACUGGGGUGAAGUCGUAACAAGGUACC
rnacentral:rRNA from 1 species